AGGGGCUCUGGGGGGACAUGGAAGUGCUCCGGAUCGUGGUUCUGUGGUGGUGACGUGGGGGAGCACACUUGCCGGAAUCUGCUGGAUUGUGAGGCUCUCACUACGUUACUUAGGCCCUUGCUACACUGCCGAGGCUGGCCUUGAACCUGCGACCCUCCUGGACCGCUGGGAUUGCAGCUACUCCACCCUGCUGGGCUCUGUGGUGAUGAGCGUCCACCUCGGCCUUCACCACACAGAUGUCCGUGACGUCGAAUUGAAGCCAGAUUUGUUGGGAGUCACUCCAGCUCCAAAGACUGACUUCCCCAUCCCCCCCUCAGAGAGCUGUCCAAUGGUGAGCCCUGCUGACUCACGUGAUCCUCACCCACCAAUCAGAAAGCACCCCGUGCCAACUGUCAAACGGUUAAACUGUUAAACCGUCAUAACUGUCAGUCCACCCCCGGCUCUAUAAAUAUGCAGAGCUGUUCCUCAAUAAAUGGGCAUUUUCUCCGA